rnacentral:rRNA from 1 species
GAUGAACGCUGGCGGCGUGCCUAAUACAUGCAAGUCGAACGAACCUUCUUUAUGAUCGCUUGCUUGCCCUCAGCGAUGGACGGUUGAGUAGCACACGGAUGAGCAACACAUAAGCCAGCGACCCAUACGGGAGAGCUAACACAUUAAAACAGAAUAUAAUACACCAUAACGAUAAAUACCGCAAGACGACUAUGCAGACACUUGUUGUACUACCCGCGUCGCAUUAGCUAGUUGGUAAGGUAACGGCUUACCAAGGCAAGGAUGCGUAGCCGACUUGAGAGGGUGAUCGGCCACACUGGAACUGAGACACGGCCCAAACUCCUACGGGAGGCAGCAGUAGGGAAUCUUCCGCAAUGGGCGAAAGCCUGACGGAGCAACGCCGCGUGGGUGAAGGAGGUCUUCGGAUCGUAAAACUCUGUUGUUAGAGAAGAACGAGCGUGAGAGUAACUGUGCACGUCUUGACGGUACCUAAUCAGAAAGCCACGGCUAACUACGUG